UCGGUCUAGUAGGUUAAGAUUAUACCAAUAAAGGCAGACUUAAUCCUGUGGAGUAGAACAUGAGCGAUAAAAUUGUUCACCUGAGUGAC
rfam:Hafnia alvei FB1, complete genome.